UACCGAUACUGUCCCAACUUAACCACCUGCUUUCUAAACAGCCUCCUUCACUCCAUCAGCCUUCUUCCUCCAGAAGUCUCUAUCUACACCGACGUCAUCUCCUCGAGUCUUCCAGAAUCCAGACUAUCAUCAUCAGCUGCAACUCCCUCUUUCGCUGUCCUAAAACUGAACGAUAAUUGAUAUCAUCCCAAACAAUUAUCAUCCCAAAAUAUUUUUCGAAUCCAUCAAUCGUAUCUUACCGGACCAAAAAAAUUAACUCUCCCCAAAUCUCUGUAAUCAGUUAUUUCCAGGGUGUCUGGGUUCGAUCAAACAUCUCUAAUCUCAUUUGAAGAUCCGCGGCUCCACCGGAAGUCUGGAAGUAUCUAUCUGCACUAACAUCUCUACACCGACAUCAACUCACAUCAACGGGGAAGAAGGAAAAGAAGGAGAAGAGAGAGACGGGAAGCUCUUGCUUAAAAGAAAACAAGUGAAAGGAUUGGAUGCUUCAAAAUUGAAUACUUGAUCAUAAAGAGUUGUGCUCACUACUACUGUUCCUCUUUCAAGUGAAUUCUCUCUCAGAUCAUCUGUGUUCCAGGUGAGUUUUUUUUAGAAGCUUUGUAGGUGAUCUCAUAGCAUAGGUAGUUGGACUUGCCGAUCUAUUUCGAUCGUUGUUUGCGUCAGAUUUGUAUUCCAUAUUCAGCAUCAUCAGACUCCUAUUCAAUCUUCAGCAUUAUCAGAGAUCUUUGUAAUCAUCGUCUGCUCUUUGCAUCCGACUUCUAUUCGAUCUUUACCAUCUGUUCUUUUUGUUUAAUCUUGGUGACUGGAUUGGUUUUGGGUAGACGAAGCUUGGGGCCAGCAAGCCUGUUCAGAUUUGCCAUUUAUCAAUAUCCCAAUUUUCAAGGACAGUUUCGGAUUGAAUUGUGGUUCGCAGAAGCCUGAGGGCAUUUUCGAUCACUGUUGACCUUCCAUAAGUCUUUAUAAGAGAUCAACCACUCAGAUACAAAAGACAAGACGGCAAAUCAGAUUGUGUGCGUUUUGGAAAAGCAAAAAAAUUUCUCUGCACAUGCUCACAAAAAAAAACUUGGCUGACCAAAACAGAAUCAGCAGGAGGCUACCUGAAACUAAUCAAUUUACAUCUAGAAGAAAAAUGGGCCACACUCUGAUUCGUGAAAUCAAAGCAUCUCAAUUGAAUUUCAAGUUAAGAGCUUAAAAAUAAUACACUUUGAUUAUGGAGGCCAAAAAAGAUAAAAGGAGCUUACUGAUUCAGCGAAGCACAAUAGAACGGCUUUGAGUCUGAGUUUAUUUGAGGAUCUUCACUUACAGAGAAAAAGAGAGGAGACAAAACAAAGAGAGAGAGAAGAGAACAGGGAAUAAGGAAAAGAAGCAGAAGAGAGAGGCGGAAAGUUGUUACUCAAAACAAAACAAGUGGAAGGUAUCAAGUGCUCGACAAACCAAGAGAGGCCAACACCUUAUGAAAUGAUUAUCUAAAAGCAUCAAAAGAGCAUUCUACCUGCAACCACUCUUUAGCUGGAGACUGAAACGCAAGACACACCUAAAGAACAGUUUAUCCCUUCCUUGAGUCAAAAAAUGUCUUGGUUGUAUCUAAGCAGACCAUUCUACUUGGUGUGGAGGUAGUGCAGUAGCUGCUCAUGUUCUACAACUGCAGCAAUUGGAUGUUCACUGAUACACAGAUUUGGAAGCUUAAGAUAUUGCACUCCAAGGAACUUCAGAAUAACAAGCCAAACCGCUAAUUUUUGAGCCAACAUCCAUCAAACAGUUCUCAUUAUUGUCUUUCAUCUAUUGCUUUAUUAGACGAUACAUACCAAGUUUGAUUUGAAGUUAUUGAUUCCAGUGAGAAAUUCGUGUAACAUAUUUUAAUCAUUCUUUAAUGAAGGUGUGCAACAGAAACAUUCUGCUAUGUAAUGUUAUCCCAGUAACAUAUAACAGCAAUUCCCGCAGCAAAGCGCGGGCAAAUAUUACUAGUA